GGAGGGGUGCAGACUGACGUCAAAGAAGAUGGUUCUAACUCCUCCCGCCUUCUGCUCUCAUCGAGACAUGUAGCCACACCACGACACAGGCUCGGAGAAGAAGCCGGGAACAGGACUUGGCAAGGAUCUCUGUCACUCCAAUGCUGGCCUUGCUGGUCAAGUCACCCGCUGGGCACUCCUACCCAGACGCCUGUGGCGGUGGCAUUGUGCUGUAUCCUCCCUGGGCUCUGGCCUCUGCUGUGUCCUCUAUCUUUCUCUGUCUGCCAUGUUUCUGAGGGCCCUAGAGCCUUCUUGGUCUGGCUCAAUGUCUUCGACAAAGAACACUUUUGAAUCCAUCAGGGAGAAACUUUGUG
rnacentral:lncRNA from 1 species